rnacentral:lncRNA from 1 species
GGAAAACAGAAAUGGUAGCAAAAUAGUGGAAAAAUCUAAUUUUCUCCCCAGUAACCGUGAAUAAUAGCACCUUAUUUUUUCACAGAAUAGUCUAAAGCCAUACCAGCUCUUCGGAAAAUGAACAACCUUUCCUCCUUCCUGCAGUGGCCACAAAGGGGAUCUCGGUUUAAAAUCUCUGAAAGGCUGCCUGCGGACUCACAGGAUAAAGGCAGCAUCAUUCUCUGAUGGCGCAGACUGCAAAAUUAGAUGGACCUGAGAGCCAGAGGGAUGCUCAUUUCUUAAGGCACUGCCAAUGAAUCAGAGCCCCUCUGUCUACUAACGUGGCAGACAACAGUUCUGCAAAAAAAGGAAAAAGAGAAAGAAGAAAGCAGGAGAGUCUGUGCCAGGUUCCAUACUCCUUAUCUUCCACACGUGACCUCCUGUGGCUUUGAGAGCCUGCUCACCGUCUCCUCCAGGAGGCAAGGAGAAUUCAGAGUAGUGGUUACCAUUAGGAUGCACAGAAAUACAAAGAUGCUGGAAUUGGUUUUGCUGAGCCUUCUAGGCUAAUUCAGUGGGUUGCUUUUCAUCUCCUGUUUACAGAAUUUGAGUCUUAAAAGAGGAGCACGGCAGUCACCGCUUUAUAACACCGUCAGAUACAGGCUGUGGCUCCAGUGCCCAGUUCACCAGUGCCCAGUUCACCAGUGCCCAGUUCACCAGUGCCCAGUUCAGAAACUCCAGUAGGGGCAGAUUAAACACAGUCGCCGCUUUAUAACACUUUAGGAUGCAGGCUGUGUGUGUAUAGAAUUUGAGUCCUAAAAAGGGCCACAACAGUCACUGCUUUAUAACACCUUUAGACGUAAGCUGUAGCUCCAGUGCUCCGUUCAGAAACUCUAGUGGGGUAGAUUAAAUGCAGACAUUUUUGGGAGUGAUUAGUUCUGUUUUUAAUCCACAUACAGCUUGGAAUGGAAAGUAGCCACCUUUUAAUUUUUUUAUUAUUACUUUUUUUUCUUCUUUUUUUUUUUUUAGAUGGAGUCUCGCUCUGUCACCAGGCUGGAGUGCGAUGGCACCAUCUCAGCUCACUGCAACCUCCGACUCCCUGGUUCAAGUGAUUCUCCUGCCUCAGCCUCCCGAGUAGCUGGGAUUACAGGCAUGCGCCACCACACCCAGCUAAUUUUUGUAUUUUUAGUAGAGAUGGGGUUUCACCAUGUUGGGCAGGAUGGUCUUGAUCUCUUGACCUCAUGAUCCACCUGCCUCAGCCUCCCAAAGUGCUGGGAUUACAGGCAUGAGCCAUCGCACCUGGCCUAAUUUUUUUUUUUUUUUUAAGACAGAGUAUGUCUCUGUCACCCAGGCUGGAGUGCAGUGGCGCAAUCUUGGCUCACUGCAGCCUCCGCCUCCUGGGCUCAAGUGAUUCUCAUGCCUCAGCCUCCGGAGUAGCUGGAACUAUAGGCAUGUACUAGCACACACAGCUAAUUUUUUUAGUAUUUUUAGUAGAGACGGAGUUUCGUCAUGUUGGUCAGACUGGUCUUGAACUCCUGGCCUCAAGUAAUCCACCGUCAGCCUUGCAGCGUGCUGGGAUUAUAGGUGUGAGCUACUGCCCCCCCGGCCAACCACGUUUUUAUUUUAAAAAGUGUCUAGGGACAGUGCCAGAGUGAUUCUUUCAGCACAUUUCUGAUUAGCCAGGUAGUGAAGGUAUUUUUGUGUUUCUUAAAAAAACCUUAACUUCUUGUAGGACCCAUGAUUCUUCCAGUUGCAAAACAAUCUUUCUAUAUGACUCAUGAUCAGAGGUUAGAUGUCAAAUAUUAGGGUGUGUGUUGAGAAUGGACUUGCCUGAUAGCACCAGUGCUUCAGAGGAGUUUUUAAACUCUGCAAAAUGAAUUAUAGUACAUUUCCCCAACUUCAGUACCUUAUUAAAACAAGCAAAAGUAUUCCAGCCCGAAAAAAGUCUGGCACAUAGUUUAUCUAUCUUGGAGACUGUGACAUGUAAGAUUGUGUGAGUCUUAUUUGUUUGCUGGAAGAAAAAAGCGAUACCUUCAGCAGAGACAGUUCUGGUAGGAUGCCAGGUUUAAUGUAAGAGAGAAAGGGAUAGAAACCCUUUCUCUGAGAUAGGAUCAUGCAGACUUCUUCAUAUGUGAGACCUAAGUGUAUAACUUAGCCCCUUUUUUGCCUUUCUUAGCUGCAUGUCAUAUGUUUUAGGGUGUUUGUCUAGAACACAGUAGCUAUGGUCCCAUUAGCAUGUCACCAUAACAUGACAUGACCUGCAGUAUCACAGAAUUCCAUGUGAGCUGUGUCGAAAAAGAUCAGUCCUUUCUAGUGGUCAGUUGCCUACAGAGGCCUCUGUUGCACUUUUUACUCCACGAUUGAAACUUUUUUAGAAUUUACUGAUCCCAUGUAGCAUCUUGGAUAUUAGACUCUGUUUAAGCCAAAUAGAGAAUACUUACAGAAAGCAUGAAGCUGUGAUUUUGAACCACUGCUCAUGGUUGGGCCUGAAGUUAGAGGAAUGGUUAUGAGCGCACUUAUUCAGAGCGGUAGCCUCAGCACCAGCACUCUUACAGGUGCACCAUGAUACUUUUAAUCAGUGGGCAAUAUUUGUCAAGGUCCCACUGUGCCAUAGCCUUGCUUAGGUGCUGUAGGUGAGGUGACCAUAUGAUUUAUCACCAGAGUCACUUUGAGAAGGAGAGGGAGCUGUUAAUAACUAUACUGAAUCAUAAACGCAGCGUGUCCCCGGUAAACCAAAUGGAUGAUUGGCUCAGCUAUGGGCUCUAUAGGAGUGCUGUUCAUAUCCUUGGUCCCCAUUCUAAAGGAUACUUAUAACCCUGCUAAAGGGCUAAUACUCAUACACUAAACCAGUGGUCCCCAACCUUUUUGGCACCAGCGAGCAGUUUUUUGGAAGACAGUUUUUCCAUGGACCAGGGAGGGGGACAUGGUUUCAGGAUGAAACUGUUCCACCUCAGAUAAUCAGGCCUUAGUUAGAUUCUGUUAAGGAGCUUGCAACCUAGAUCCCUCGCGUGUGCAGUUCACAGUAGGGUUCGCGCUCCUAUGAGAAUCUAAUACCGCUGCUGAUCUGAGGAGGGGGAGCUCAGAAGAUCAUGCUCACUCACUUGCCCACCGCUCACCUCCUGCUGUGCGGCCCAGUUCCCAACAGGCCACGGACUGGUGCUGGCCCACGGCCCAGGGCUUGGGGUCCCCUGCACUAAACAAUUCAAGAACAUUAUGUUUAAAAAAGUCCUCUUCUGUAAUUAACCCAUUGCCCCCCCCCCCAGAACAUUAUGUUUAAAACAGUCCUCUUCUGUAAUUAACCCAUUGCCCCCUCCGCAGAACAUUAUGUUUAAAACAGUCCUCUUCUGUAAUUAACCCAUUGCCCCCCCCAGAACAUUAUGUUUAAAACAGUCCUCUUCUGUAAUUAACCCAUUGCCCCCCCCAGAACAUUAUGUUUAAAACAGUCCUCUUCUGUAAUUAACCCAUUGCCCCCCCAAAUAAAUUUCUCUCCUGCUAAAUCACUCCCAAGCAGACGUAUGCAAGCAUUUCUCAUCUUUAAAAAUUACUCCCUUUACGCCAUCUUUUGCCCUA